CUACGGGAGGCUGCAGUGAGGAAUAUUGCACAAUGGGGGGAACCCUGAUGCAGCAACGCCGCGUGGAGGAUGACGCAUUUCGGUGUGUAAACUCCUUUUAUAUGUCAAGAAAAUGACGGUAGCAUAUGAAUAAGCACCGGCUAACUCCGUGCCAGCAGCCGCGGUAAUACGGAGGGUACAAGCGUUACUCGGAAUCACUGGGCGUAAAGGACGCGUAGGCGGGUUGGAAAGUCAGGUGUGAAAUCCUACAGCUUAACUGUAGAACUGCACUUGAAACUUCUAAUCUAGAGUAUGGGAGGGAAGAUGGAAUUAGUGGUGUAGGGGUAAAAUCCGUAGAUAUCACUAGGAAUACCUAAAGCGAAGGCGAUCUCCUGGAACAUUACUGACGCUAAGGCGUGAAAGCGUGGGGAGCAAACAGGAUUAGAUACCCGGGUAGUC
rnacentral:rRNA from 1 species